GUGUCCAUGAUGUUCUUUCUACCUACAUUGUUUGAUGCUGUGUGAGAAAAAUCCUAACCCUGAGACACC
rnacentral:snoRNA from 1 species